GACGAACGCUGGCGGCGUGCCUAAUACAUGCAAGUCGAACGCUUCUUUCCUCCCGAGUGCUUGCACUCGAUUGGAAAGAGGAGUGGCGGACGGGUGAGUAACACGUGGGUAACCUACCCAUCAGAGGGGGAUAACACUUGGAAACAGGUGCUAAUACCGCAUAACAGUUUAUGCCGCAUGGCAUAAGAGUGAAAGGCGCUUUCGGGUGUCGCUGAUGGAUGGACCCGCGGUGCAUUAGCUAGUUGGUGAGGUAACGGCUCACCAAGGCCACGAUGCAUAGCCGACCUGAGAGGGUGAUCGGCCACACUGGGACUGAGACACGGCCCAGACUCCUACGGGAGGCAGCAGUAGGGAAUCUGCGGCAAUGGACGAAAGUCUGACCGAGCAACGCCGCGUGAGUGAAGAAGGUUUUCGGAUCGUAAAACUCUGUUGUUAGAGAAGAACAAGGACGUUAGUAACUGAACGUCCCCUGACGGUAUCUAACCAGAAAGCCACGGCUAACUACGUG
rnacentral:rRNA from 1 species